GGGGUGUCCGACUAGCGUAGGUCUUUGCAUUGUACAGAAUUGUCUGUGUCGGUCCGGCCAGUCUUUGCGGGGGUGUGUGGACAUGCACACCUCAUCCAAAUAUGACGCAAAAAUGUCUUUUUCCUAUGGAAUGUAUUAGACGCUAAGAGGUGAUUAUUGUCUGACCGGGACUGCACAUAUCACAUGGUUUUGUUUACCAAAGUGAAUCCAUUCUUUAAAAAAAGAUUUAAAAAAAUAUGAGAUUUAAGGAAAGUGUAUUAGAUUUGCUGUGUUGGAUAUAAAGUGUUUAUUGCAAAUACAGUAUUUGAACUCGUCCGGGUGGUCAGGGAGGACAUUCUCCUCAAGCGACAGUGGGAGUUUGGUUUGUUUCUCUGAUAAGUUGAGUUUUAAUGGCUGUUGAAGGUAAGUAACUAGCGUUUAUAACCGUUUCGUGCUGUUUGUAAGAGGAUUUAAUAGUAUUUCAUAAUUUUAAUAGAUAUUUUUCAAUCUUUGUGUAACAUAAAUGUAUUUUUUUUGCAUUACAUAUUUCUUGGGAUAUUAUUUCAAUGGAGCUUUUAAAAAACCAACCAACCCCAGAUUGCGCAGUGGCUCACUUUGUGUGUGUGAGAGUCUGGAGGGCCGUGACUGCCAGCCAGGGGUCUGUGUCCGUGAUGUCCGGGCCUGGAGGGCUCGGGGCAAGUGGCUGGGACGUGUUGUCUGUUUUGCCAAUUGUCACUGCAGUUUUUAUUAGAGAAUAGUACCGAUGCUGACGAUCCUGUUGAGAUUUUUAUUUCUAUUUUCUCACUGUUGCUGGAUGCUGCAGCUGUUCCCCAGAAGGAAUCACUCAAGUACUAAACAGUUUGAUGGAUUAUUGUGAA